rnacentral:lncRNA from 1 species
CUGAAUGUGAUGCUAAAAUAUUCGAGUAAAUUAUAGUCAUGACGAACUGAAAAUUGGAAAGGUACGAAUGAGGAUUCAUGAAAUGUGUACAUGGUGAAAUGAGCUUAUCUAUGAUUAAUAGAUAAUUCCAUGAUGUAUAUGAUCGAUUUAUUUGAAAAAAAUUCAUGUGUUUGAGUAACUUAUAAAAAAUAUUGAUAAAAUGAAUAUUCAUGUAUAUUGGUUGAGAUGAUU